rnacentral:lncRNA from 10 species
CAGGGCAAGCGGAGACUACGGGGUUCCCGAGGUUCUCCUGCCCUGCAGCCUCUCUCUGCAGCUGUGCACAUGCACCAUGACUCCCCAUGGAGGGUGCAGCUCCACCCUGGCGGGAGCCACGCCCACAGCUCCCACAGCCCUGCCUGUGCACUGCCUGCAGUGCUCUUUACAACGUGUGUGCAGAGAGCCCAACAAACUUUUGAUGAAUGAAACCGGUGGACUCCACCAGGAGACAAGUCCUGGCUUCCGCUGGAGCAUCUCCACCGGGCCUGCGUCGGUGAAAAGCAGAGGCAAGCGAGUUCUCCUAGGUAGACCUCCACAUCCUGCCUACUUACACAGUGAUGGUUAGCUGCCAUCAAUAAGAACAGAAGCACAAUUCAAUUUUUAGAACACACACAAUUAGGUGCCCAUAAAAAACGGAAGCCAAAAAUUAAAAGACAAAUGAAUGAGAAAGAACAAAACAAAACCACAAUAUUGAGAAACGUUAAGGAGGACUCAAAUUUCCUGGCAAGGGGGCAGAGAGGGGCCAGGGCUGGGUGUGAACCUGGGAAGACACGGCCAGGCCGGGCUGACCAAGCCGGGUCAGGCCAUGGGUCAUGACCGCCUGGAGACCACAAGGGCGUCGGGCUGGGUCAGAUGCCAUGGACCCACCACUGCCUCCUGAUCCCAGCACGUUGUAGGAUAUAUGAAGCAGAAAAUGGUCUACUCUACUCAAACAUCGUCAUGUCACAGACUACUGAUCAGUCUACAAAGCGGGCUACAAGAGUCCAGUGGAUGCUCAGCCUCCAGUGAGGGCCCCAGGGGCGCAGGGCUAGGAAGAGAGAGGGUACAACAGCCAGGUAGGACAUGUGUGUGUGUGUGUACACCAGGGCUGCAAGCAUCUUCACUCACUGCCGAAAGCAAAACCCCACGUGCAGUCUAAUUUGAGGGCUCCACCUAAUUACCAAACGUCACACUUCUAAAGAGAGUGGAGGCUGCAUAGAGCUCAAGCUGGCAGGAUCCUUAAAUACUCUCCCUUCUCAGGCACUAAAAGGAGGCAUCAGCUGCAUGUCUGGGCUUUGAGAGAGUCAUACCGUAAGAGAAGGCACACUGAUGCUUUUGGAAGAGAUUAUGAAUCACACCCUGCCUUGGAACAGUGCACAGAGGGACCCUGAGCAGGCCAUGAAGCCACAAUGCAAUGCAGUUCACUUUUCAACCUUUGUAGUUUAAGUGGAAAACCUAAUGCUUCUGACAAAACUGCCUGAUUUAAAUGUUCUCACUUGAAAAAAAAAAUAAUGAUUUAAAAAGGAAAUAAGACUCCCAUUUAUUUGCAAAGCACAGUACGGGCUGCUGGGUGCACCCUGCGCCCGAGCACCUGGGAGCCAGCCCUGGACUGCGCAGCCACCUGCGGGCGGAGAGGGGAGGGGCCAGGUGUCCUCGGCCUCUGAUGUGGCUUCCACCCUGCGCCCUUUUCUGAAGACACACAUCCUAGAGCCCAGAGAACUUGAGGGCUGGAGGGUUUAAGGCAAGGCUGGAUUUCAUUUCUAUGUUGAAAUUCUUAAGAACAGAACAGUGUGCCGAGCGCGGUGGCUCACGCCUGUAAUCCCAGCAUUUUGGGAGGCCGCAGCAGGCGGACCACGAGGUCAGGAGAUCGAGAUCAUCCUAGCUAACA